UAAGUCCGAAUUUUCAGCUGUGAGCCUCA
rnacentral:piRNA from 1 species